AUUGAACGCUGGCGGCAGGCCUAACACAUGCAAGUCGAACGAGUGGCGGACGGGUGAGUAAUGUCUGGGAAACUGCCCGAUGGAGGGGGAUAACUACUGGAAACGGUAGCUAAUACCGCAUACCAUCGGAUGUGCCCAGAUGGGAUUAGCUAGUAGGUGGGGUACUGGCUCACCUAGGCGACGAUCCCUAGCUGGUCUGAGAGGAUGACCAGCCACCGUGGAACGGAGACACGGUCCAGACUCCUACGGGAGGCAGCAGUGGGGAAUAUUGAGCAAUGGGCGCAAGCCUGAUGCAGCCAUGCCGCGUGUAUGAAGAAGGCCUUCGGGUUGUAAAGUACUUGCAGCGAGGAGGCGUUACUCGCAGAAGAAGCACCGGCUAACCCCGUGCCAGCAGCCGCGGUAAUUC
rnacentral:rRNA from 1 species